rnacentral:lncRNA from 1 species
GGCAUAAGCAGAUGAGAUUGCAUCCACUUCAAGCAGCUUUCCUGAGCCUUGGGGGCUCUGGGUUACUAUGAAUCCCAGGCUGCUCUUGUCCCUUCCUGCCUGUCUAUGUUGUCUGAAGAUGGGAUGCUUGGGACUGCAGCAGCCACCUUGUAAUCAUGAGGAGAAAGCCAAGAGCUGCACAGAGAAACAGAUCCAAAAGCCUGACAUUACUGUGAUGUCCACUAUGAGACCACAGGACCAGCUGAAACCCGCCAGAACCAAUAUGACCGACUGGAGCUCGCGCAAGGAUUUGCCGGGCCACGGGGUGAUCUUUUGACGUCACCGUCUGAACUUCCGCCCCAAGUUUCAUACUAACUCCCCCUAAAUUUUCACAUGCCACCCAUGAAGAGGCAACUGCACAUGGGCAAGGGACUUUCCAAACAUCCCCGUUCCCUGGCCAAUCACUAAUCUACCCUGAAACACUUUCCUCCAAAUCCUUCUUUUACAAAUAUGGCUUUCAAGCCAGUACAAGGAAGACAGUUUUGAGCCCAUCUCCUGUCACGUUGCUUGGCCGUUUUGCAAUAAACC